CGUUGUUUGCAAUGCAGGCUGCGGGAAGAGAAGAAAUAGACCAAAGAAUUGCUCCCAGAUUAAUAAGCCAUCGCCCUUAUCCAGGUAUGAAAGUUAAUAAAGGCCAUGGGACUGCAAGAACUAGCCGAGAACCUGUAUUGAAGAAGUCAUUUUCUCUGCAAUGGCCCAGCCGCAACACAAAUGUAGGAUAUGAGCCACCCUUCCAGCAGCUCUACAACAGAGUAAACAGACCAUUGGGCUACUCGCUACUGUAAUAUUGAGUACCUCAAAUAAAGUAUUAUUAAGUGGCAUGUAUAAUUGCAGAUCCCUCUCUUAGUUUUACCAUCACACCUGCUAGACUAAGCCAUCAUUCUCUCCUCCAACGAUAGAAGUGACUAUUGAUGCCUUAGAAAGUGGAAAAGCUAUACAUAUUACCAUCUUACUUUACUGAAUCCUUCAUGUUUUGGCUAUCAAGAGUAUGUUCUGCUUUGGGCA